AGUGGAGCCAGUGUAUGCAGGAGAGCUAGAAAUUACUUCUUUUAGAGCCACUCGCCGGCAUACGGACAAGAGAUUCAUCGCAACACUUCCAGAUCUGUGUGGAAAUACACAGGAAGAAAGACUUGCGAUUGGGUAAAUUAAGUACCAAACAUAAUCAAGAGGGUAGAUGAAAUAUGGGUCUGGGCCAAAUAUUUCCCAUAGUUUCCAAUCCUCAUGAUCCGAAUAGUAUAAAAUUCCCUAGUACAAAAUAUGUGAAUCAAAUUUCGUUGCAAGGAACCUAUCUGAACAGCUUUUUACUCAUUUUACAGCCAAACAUGAAAGAGAAGCAAGCCAACGGCGCAUGGCAAUCUCUUUUCCACAAUAAAAUCCUGAAAAACAGGAAUUGAGUCAUUAAAUUUGUCUAGCAAAAAACUGAUUAGUUUUUCCUCCAAUAUCUGCAUCAU
rnacentral:lncRNA from 1 species